CGAACGGGUGAGUAACGCGUGAGGAACCUGCCCCAAAGAGGGGGACAACAGUUGGAAACGACUGCUAAUACCGCAUAAGCCCACGGCUCGGCAUCGAGCAGAGGGAAAAGGAGUGAUCCGCUUUGAGAUGGCCUCGCGUCCGAUUAGCUGGUUGGUGAGGUAACGGCCCACCAAGGCGACGAUCGGUAGCCGGACUGAGAGGUUGAACGGCCACAUUGGGACUGAGACACGGCCCAG
rnacentral:rRNA from 1 species